rnacentral:lncRNA from 1 species
CCGGCAGCACCUCCUUUGAAAACUAGCAUAACAAGGAGGGGAAACAUGAAGCUCAUACAAGGUAUAAAGACAUAUAAUUCACAUAGUAGAACUGUAAUGCAAAAGUGGUAAACCCUAAUUAUGACCCAACUGAAGUAAAACAAAUGGGAUAAGAAACUCAGCCCACCCCAAAAUAAACGCUCAACCAAGAACAAAGCGAUUCACUAGACUUGUCCAACUCUGAUUAUCAACAUUAUUAAAUGGUGGUUCCUUCAUUAAAGGUGUAGUGGCCGUGCUGCUACAUCCCCUUUAUUCCCCAAAGCAGAAAUUAGGUGCCUGCAUCAAACAAUGCAAGAUGUGAGAUAACACAUCUCAGCAAGUAAACAUAACAACAACAAGUAGGCCAUUGUAAAUCAACUGUGCUUACACAACCACGUGUUCAGGACUUCUUUCUUUUCUUUUGAACAGUAAAUUGCAGCAAGUAUACAAGUAACUAAAAACUCAACGCCAAGAGGAAUCACCAUGCACAAGUCCAAAUUAUCCACAUCCACAUAAUAGAUUCAACACCUCUCCCAUGAAUGCACAUGGCUACAAAUGCAAUAAUGACUUCUGCCUCCAUAUCUCUAAGGAUAUGAAGCUGCACCAUACCCCUUCUCGGGCAACAUAUGAUGCUCAAUGUACCGGUACGGUCGGACCAUAAGAUCGCGACGAAACUUCAAUCCAAUGGAUGAUGAGUGCAUUAUGCAUGACAACAUCAUAAGUUCUUCCCAAAUAAAAAUGUGCUAGGCAUUUACUUCCAACCAUUCCACAUAAUAACCACUUGAGUAACAUAAUCAAACCUCAAACUCAACAUAUGAAAUCCAUGAAACAUGAACAUUUUCAAAUGAUGGUACUCAAAAGAAAAAUAUGAAUUUGAACAUGAUAGCACAACAUAAACAAGUUUUACUUGCCUUCACCGAAGUUUGGGCAAAAUCCCUAAGAACGAUCCGGAAGUCCACCACCUGUUUUUGACACCCAACUUAGUGCACCAAAUUCACAUAAAAAACUCAAAGACAACAUCGCACCUACGAGCAGUCUCAACCCCGCCGCGGUAACAAUUCUCCCCUCACUAACCAAACUGCAGCGACGCUGCUUAACAAUUCCAUAACUUAAAAAUUAGGACAGCAGUGGUGUCAAACAAAAACUUCAGAGACAACUACAUAAAAUUUCCCACAAGUUUUGUAUACAACUCAUGAUUAAAUUCUAACAUCUAAUUACCUCUAAACGGUCCACAAAAUAAACCCUGCAAUCUGUUUUUUUCUGAUUUGGGCAGCGACAUACUCGGAUUCAAACAGCGAUAACUUUUAAAAUAUAAUUCCGAUUUGAGCGCAUAAGUACUUAUUGGAAAGAUAAGAAAAAGACCUACAUGAUUCUCAUACUGAUUAAUACUAAUUACUCCCGAAAAAUCCCCAGAAACUGCUAAUACUUUUGCUGUUCAUCACUCUGAAAAUUCUGUUUUUUUUGGACAGCCACAAACCCGGAUUCAAACGAUGAUAACUUUUAAUUUAUAACUCCAAAUUGAGCGCAUAAAUACUCGUUGGAAAGGUAAAACAAAGUUCUACAAGAUCCCCAAAUUGAUCCCCAUUAAUUCUUCACGAAAAACCCUAAAAACUGCUAGAACUUCCGCUGUUCAUCCACCACGUAAAAUUCUGGACAGCCCCCCUCUAUCUAAUCACAAACGCAACGUCUAAACAAUUGAAUCGCAGCGCAAAUGAACAAGGGAUGAACACAAAAAUCACCUUGGGUUCUCCCCCUUUCUUUCCUCCCUUCUUCCCUCCACCAAAACGGUUGGAGAAUCGCACCACGAGACGACGAUCCGAGCGGCAAGGAUUGGCACCUUGGGAGAAGGGGAUUGGGGGGGGGGCGGCUAGGGUUUGGUGGCUGCAAAAAUUGAGAGAGAAGGAGAUGGGCAGGGGGGUGGCGGCCAAGGGGAGGAGGAGA